GUUUGAAACGUUUUGGCCAAAAAUGUUUCCACGGUCAAGGUGUUUUUUGCAGAAACGUUUCAGAUUU
rfam:Tetraodon nigroviridis, WGS project CAAE01000000 data, contig: CNS0BYVL, chromosome: undetermined